rnacentral:rRNA from 1 species
AUACGGAAGGCAGCAGUGGGGAAUUUUGGACAAUGGGGGCAACCCUGAUCCAGCCAUGCCGCGUGAGUGAAGAAGGCCUUCGGGUUGUAAAGCUCUUUCGGACGGAAAGAAAUCGCCAUUUCUGAUACAAGUGGUGGAUGACGGUACCGUCAUAAGAAGCACCGGCUAACUACGUGCCAGCAGCCGCGGUAAUACGUAGGGCGCGAGCGUUAAUCGGAAUUACUGGGCGUAAAGCGUGCGCAGGCGGUUUUGUAAGACAGGUGUGAAAUCCCCGGGCUUAACCUGGGAACUGCAUUUGUGACUGCAAGGCUAGAGUGUGGCAGAGGGGGGUAGAAUUCCACGUGUAGCAGUGAAAUGCGUAGAGAUGUGGAGGAAUACCGAUGGCGAAGGCAGCCCCCUGGGUCAACACUGACGCUCAUGCACGAAAGCGUGGGGAGCAAACAGGAUUAGAUACCCGCGUAGUCCC